UACGAAGGGGGCUAGCGUUGCUCGGAAUUACUGGGCGUAAAGGGUGCGUAGGCGGGUCUUUAAGGCAGAGGUGAAAUCCUGGAGCUCAACUCCAGAACUGCCUUUGAUACUGAGGAUCUUGAGUUCGGGAGAGGUGAGUGGAACUGCGAGUGUAGAGGUGAAAUUCGUAGAUAUUCGCAAGAACACCAGUGGCGAAGGCGGCUCACUGGCCCGAUACUGACGCUGAGGCACGAAAGCGUGGGGAGCAAACAGG
rnacentral:rRNA from 1 species